rnacentral:rRNA from 1 species
UACAGAGGUCUCAAGCGUUGUUCGGAUUCAUUGGGCGUAAAGGGUGCGUAGGUGGCGCGCUAAGUCAGGUGUGAAAUUUCGGAGCUUAACUCCGAAACUGCAUUUGAUACUGGCGUGCUUGAGGACUGGAGAGGAGACUGGAAUUCACGGUGUAGCAGUGAAAUGCGUAGAUAUCGUGAGGAACACCAGAGGCGAAGGCGGGUUACUGGGCUGAUACUGACGCUGAGGCACGAAAGCGUGGGGAGCAAACAGG